CGGCGAACGGGUGAGUAACACGUGAGGAACUUCGCCCCGGAGUACGGGAUAACUCGAGGAAACUCGAGCUAAUACCGUAUGCCCUCUUCUGGUCGCAUGGCCGGAUGAGGAAAGAUUCAUCGCUCCGGGAGAGCCUCGCGGCCUAUCAGCUAGUUGGUGGGGUAACGGCCCACCAAGGCAUCGACGGGUAGCUGGUCUGAGAGGACGAUCAGCCACACUGGGACUGAGACACGGCCCAGACUCCUACGGGAGGCAGCGGUGGGGAAUCUUGCGCAAUGGGCGAAAGCCUGACGCAGCAACGCCGCGUGCGGGAUGAAGGCCUUCGGGUUGUAAACCGCUUUCAGCAGGGAAGAAACUGACGGUACCUGCAGAAGAAGCCCCGGCCAACUACGUG
rnacentral:rRNA from 1 species